CAGCCGCCACGGUAAUACCAGCACCUCGAGUGGUCAGGAGGUUUAUUGGGCCUAAAGCAUCCGUAGCCGGUUGCAUAAGUUUUCGGUUAAAUCUAUGCGCUUAACGUAUAGGCCGCCGAAGAUACUGUGCAGCUAGGGAGUGGGAGAGGUACACGGUACUCGAUAGGAAGGGGUAAAAUCCUUUGAUCUAUUGAUGACCACCUGUGGCGAAGGCGGUGUACCAGAACACGUUCGACGGUGAGGGAUGAAAGCUGGGGGAGCAAACCGGAUUAGAUACCCCCGUAGUCCCUGUCUCUUAUAC
rnacentral:rRNA from 1 species